rnacentral:rRNA from 1 species
CUGAUGGCGACCGGCGCACGGGUGAGUAACACGUAUCCAACCUGCCGAUAACUCGGGGAUAGCCUUUCGAAAGAAAGAUUAAUACCCGAUGGCAUAAUAGAACCGCAUGGUUUGAUUAUUAAAGAAUUUCGGUUAUCGAUGGGGAUGCGUUCCAUUAGGCAGUUGGUGGGGUAACGGCCCACCAAACCUUCGAUGGAUAGGGGUUCUGAGAGGAAGGUCCCCCACAUUGGAACUGAGACACGGUCCAG